UACCGUUGACAACUUAAUGGU
rnacentral:piRNA from 1 species